AGUGAACGCUGGCGGUAGGCCUAACACAUGCAAGUCGAGCGGUAGAGAGAAGCUUGCUUCUCUUGAGAGCGGCGGACGGGUGAGUAAUGCCUAGGAACCUGCCUGGUAGUGGGGGAUAACGUUCGGAAACGGACGCCAAUACCGCAUACGUCCUACGGGAGAAAGCAGGGGACCUUCGGGCCUUGCGCUAUCAGAUGAGCCUAGGUCGGAUUAGCUAGUUGGUGGGGUAAUGGCUCACCAAGGCGACGAUCCGUAACUGGUCUGAGAGGAUGAUCAGUCACACUGGAACUGCGACACGGUCCAGACUCCUACGGGAGGCAGCAGUGGGGAAUAUUGGACAAUGGGCGAAAGCCUGAUCCAGCCAUGCCGCGUGUGUGAAGAAGGUCUUCGGAUUGUAAAGCACUUUAAGUUGGGAGGAAGGGCAGUAAAUUAAUACUUUGCUGUUUUGACGUUACCGACAGAAUAAGCACCGGCUAACUCUGUGCCAGCCGCCGCCGUAA
rnacentral:rRNA from 1 species